ACCCAAGAAUGUGAUUCCCCGUUUCCGAUGGCUGCGUUGGUCUCCUCCGUCUCACCGGCGGCGCUCGCGGCCCGCCUCGCCCCCCGUCGAGCGUGGAUUAUGGACAGGUGGUCGAUCCGUGGUCCUCUACUUGUGGCAGCCACUGCUGCCUUCUCCGCAGGUGGAGGGAGCGGCGAGGAGAAGCGGCGGCGGCUCGUGCUCUAUAAGAAGCCCGGUUGUUGCCUCUGCGACGGCCUCGAGGAGAAGCUUCACGUUGCCCUCUCCCUCGCCGGAGGCCCACACUCCCUCCCUUCGGUCGACCUCCAGGUGAGGGAUAUCACGGGGAAUCCUGAAUGGGAGAUGCUUUACCAGGACGAGAUUCCAGUCUUGGCCAAGGUUCUUCCUGACGGAACCGAGGGGGUUCCUCUUCUCUCAUUUUUCACCGAGCACAAUAGGAGGAUUGAGGAGAGGAUUUUCCGAGGAGAGGAUCAUGAGGAGAGGAUAGUCGAGGAGAGGUGUUUUUGGAGGAUUUUACACCUAAAUUAGGUGUACAGCUCGGUAUGUCGUACCAUAUGGAGCAAAUCUCGAUACACCGGUACGGAAACACUUCCGCGGUUAUCCCCUCGUCUCACGGUGGAGCUUAUUCAGAAAAAAAUCGCCGCUGCAUUUGAAAACUGAGAAAUUUUCUCUGUUCCUUGGAGGUUGUGACCCGUAUACAAGAAUGCACAAAGGGUGUCCAAUUUGUUUGUCCUUGAAUAAUGCUUCUCAAUUGCUGCUGUUAUGUUGCUGUUAUGUUUAUCUACUUUUGGAUUUUGCGUAAUUGGUAGGCUGUCAAUGUUCAUCUUU